UGGGGAAUUUUGGACAAUGGGGAAACCCUGAUCCAGCCAUCCCGCGUGUGCGAUGAAGGCCUUCGGGUUGUAAAGCACUUUUGGCAGGAAAGAAACGUCGCGGGUUAAUACCCCGCGGAACUGACGGUACCUGCAGAAUAAGCACCGGCUAACUACGUGCCAGCAGCCGCGGUAAUACGUAGGGUGCAAGCGUUAAUCGGAAUUACUGGGCGUAAAGCGUGCGCAGGCGGUUCGGAAAGAAAGAUGUGAAAUCCCAGAGCUUAACUUUGGAACUGCAUUUUUAACUACCGGGCUAGAGUGUGUCAGAGGGAGGUGGAAUUCCGCGUGUAGCAGUGAAAUGCGUAGAUAUGCGGAGGAACACCGAUGGCGAAGGCAGCCUCCUGGGAUAACACUGACGCUCAUGCACGAAAGCGUGGGGAGCAAACAGGAUUAGAUACCCUGGUAGUCCACGCCCUAAAACGAUGUCAACUAGUUGUUGGGGGAUUCAUUUCCUUAGUAACGUAGCUAACGCGUGAAGUUGACCGCCUGGGGAGUACGGUCGCAAGAUUAAAACUUAAAGGAAUUGACGGGGUCAUAGCUGUUUCCU
rnacentral:rRNA from 1 species